UACGUAGGGGGCAAGCGUUGUCCGGAAUCAUUGGGCGUAAAGCGCGCGUAGGCGGCCCUGUAAGUCCGCUGUAAAAGUCAAAGGCUCAACCUUUGAAAGCCGGUGGAUACUGCAGGGCUAGAGUCCGGAAGAGGCGAGUGGAAUUCCUGGUGUAGCGGUGGAAUGCGCAGAUAUCAGGAGGAACACCGAUGGCGAAGGCAGCCUCCUGGGCCAGCACUGACGCUCAUGCACGAAAGCGUGGGGAGCAAACAGG
rnacentral:rRNA from 1 species